AACUUUACACUAGUAAUUCCUUUAGGGUGUGUUACCGUACAAGCAAAAACUGUUCAAAUCCAACAGAAACUGUUUAAGACCUAGGUGCGAAUAUUUGGACCCCAUUAUCUUUUGAUCGAAAAUAUCGUUCAAUGUGUUAGAUAUAUAAUUGAAAUGCAAAUGCCUCUUGUUAUAUUAUACUUUUAGAACAAAAUGUUCAUUUAAUAAUUAUUGUUUAAUAUAAUCUUUUUUCAAAGCACCUACAUAUUAUAUACAUAUGUAACUAAAUAUUAUAUUUUAUAUUCAUUAAGCAUUUUAAAAUAUUUUCAGAUUAUAUAGUAAAAUCGCAUGCGAGAUCUUUUAUUUGACACCUCAAUCGCCAAAUUGUUGCUAAUUCACAAACAACAUUUCAAGGAGAAGCAACAACUACUGUAAUGUAGUAGGCAUGUAGCGAGUGCAUAACCCCUUCUCUGUGCUGCGUAGCACAUCGCAGGGAAAGGAGAAUGAACACAAACAAUGCACACCUUCACCACAUACGACAAUCACAACAUCAUCAGCGCUGUCGUGGGGAACUCUGCACAAUUGGAAUUCUUCAAUCGCGAUCGGUCAGCGGUCAAAUUGCGCGUCGGUUCGUGUUGCGGGAAAAAUAGUAAUAAACUCUUAAGAAAUUUAUAGCAAAAGUGCUUUUUAAUUAUUUUGUUCAAUUUAAAAUCUAAGUCAGUGUUGUGCAAAUUAAAUUAAAAGUUAAAUAAAUAUAGUGACAAGUUAACUUAAGUGUGAAAAGUUGUAAGUGUUCUAGUAAAAGCAAAAAAUGUGCGUAAAGUGAAAUAGAAUAGUGUGUAUAGUUUGUAAUUCUGUUUUCUAUGAUAUGUUUAUGUUUGUUAAUGGUGUUAAUAGCAAAGUGAGAAAUCGAAUAUUGUAUAUCAUUCAUAAAUAGUGCUUUAGUGAAUUAGUGAAAUAAUUGCCAUUUAAAUAUAUUUUAUAAAAUGUGAAGUCGCUGCGUUCGUUUUUUCGGUGGUCGUCGAUCGUCGUUUUCUAAAUAACCAACAACGUUGUUCGUAUAACAAACAAACAAAUAACAUCAGUCAAGGAGAGCAAUAAUUUGUCUGCUGAAAAAGUACGAGUUCGCUUUGUUUACGUGGAACCAGGUAUCUUGGAAUCGGGUAUACGAUGAAUUACUAUGUGAUUUAUAAAAAUAAAUAUCUUGGCACUUCACUGAAUAUGCUACGUCAAACAAACUGACAAUCAAUACAGCUCUGUGCAUUGGAAACUUUCCGUCGCCACUUUUCUGUUUCAAGCAGUUCUGAAAAUAUUUCUCCACCGCGUCGGUUAAAAUCCGUGAAAAUCGUGAAAAUCUUAAAACAUAUUAGUAUAAUUUUGAAUUUUGGAGCAAAUUCAAGUGUUAGUGGUAGUAUUAAUUUGUAAUUAAGUGAAAUUAAAGUAAUUGUGACAUUUUUCACUCGGUUUUUUAGGAAUCAAAUAAAAUGCGUUCGUGUCGUCGCGGUAAAAAGUAUGUGCAAGAGGUUACCUCGCGAAAUACUCUGAAAUAGGUGUGUUAAGGAGUUGUUAACCUUUUCAUUGAGCAAUUUAUUCAUAACUCAC